rnacentral:lncRNA from 1 species
CAGACCAGCUAAGCAUCUAUCGGCCACAAAACCGAGUGAGGCGUAAGAAAAAAUCACGCGACAGAGGAAUAGCAAAAUCGAAUUUUAAAUGUCAACAUCACGUAUAUAUUAGGCCUGGGGAGAGAGGCCUUCCUGAUCAGUAUUAUCCGGUGCAGCUCUUAUCAUUAAUCAACGUAAUCGCACACGUUGUUUAAUUACUUCUUUACCAAGUCAGUACAUAUUACUGUUGCCGUUAUCUUGGACAUGUCAUUGUCAUCCUAUAGUCUUUUAACAACUCGAUCAGAACUUGGUCAAGAGCAGAGGUGGCGGGAAACAACAAGGUGGCGGGAAAGCAAGAUGCAGGUCAAUACACACUAGCUUAGGUCGCAAACGAACAAAAGUAACCAAAACGAGUAGCGACGACCAACGACAAAUAAUAAUCUUCCUCCAUGCUGAUCGCUGACGAUCCUGCAACGCUAGCUCACGCGUCAUGUCGCGUCGCGUCGUGUCGUGUCGCCGACAUCGCCGCCUAUAUAUUACUCCAUCCAUGUAGCUUGCUCUGGAACACACCAAGAAUCGAUCAAUGGCGCUCGUCGCAAUGGCUAGCAGCAGCGGCAGUGGCAGCAGUAGAUCCACCAAUGGGAUGCUCGAGGAGACCGUCGCCGACGUCGCGGCGCUCGUCGAGAAGUGGCGCUCCGAUGAUGAUGGGCGGCGCCGGCGCCGGAGCUCUCUGUUCCUCGACGGCGGCUUUGCGGAUGCGGGGAGGUUUAUGUCCGCCGCCGUCGAGCUCCACCGCGGGAUGCUCGUGCUCGCGUCGUCGGAUGUCGAGGAUGCGCGGGGACGUGGGGACCGUGGGGACGAACGGCUUGUGCGCGCGCAGGGGGUUCUCGAGGACGCCAUGCGGAGGCUGCAGCUCGAGCUGGAGAUUUUGCUGUCGGCGGUGAGGUCGAACACCGCCGACGACGGCGACGGCGACGGCGCCGCCAUGUCCGGCCAUGGCUUGGAUGGUGACGGUGCUGUUGUGGUGGGGCAUAUACGGUUGGUCGCCGAGGCCAUGGUGGCGGCUGGGUAUGGCAUGGAGUGCGUCACCACGUUCAUGUCGCACCGCCGCGCGGAGUUCGCCGGCGCGGUGCGCCGCCUGCUCGGGUACGCGCCGUCGCAGCACGCGCGCUUCCGCAAGCUCGCGUGGGACGACGUCGACGGCAAGGUGCGGUCGUGGCACACCGCCGCCGGGUUCGCGUUCAACUUCGCCUUCUCCGGCGAGAGGGUGCUCUGCCACCGCGUGUUCGCCGCCGCCGACGCGGGCGUCGCCGACAGGGUGUUCGAGGGGAUCGCCAGCGACCACGCCGCGGACCUCCUCGCCGUCGCCGAGGCCGCCGUGGCGCGCGCGCGCCGCGCGCCCGAGCGGCUGUUCCACGUGCUCGACGUCCACGCCACCCUCGUCGAGAUAUUCCCGGCGAUCGUGUGCGUCCUCGGCGACAAGUCGGAGGCCGCCGUCCGCGCCACCGCCGCUCUUCGCAACGCCGGCGAGGCGGCGCGUGGUAUUCUCGUCAGCUUCGAGGAAGCGAUCCAGAAGGCGACGUCCAAGUCGUCGGCGGCGGCGACCGGCGGCGCCGUGCACCCGCUCGCCCGCUACGUGAUGAACUACCUCGUCCUCCUCGCCGACUACGACGACACCCUUGCUCGCAUCUACCAGCAAGGCCGAGGCAGCACGUCGCCGCACUCUCCAUCGUCGUCGUCGUCGUCGUCGAACCCGAUUGGUCGUCUCGUGUCCGUCCUGCUGCGCAAGCUGGACGCCAUGGCCGGGAGGCACCGGUCGCCGGCGGCGAGGUCCCUGUUCAUGGCGAACAACACGCACUACGUGUCCAAGAAGGUGCGCGGCAGCAGCAAGCUGGUGGGCAUCGUCGGCGGCGAGGGAUGGGCGGUGGCGCAGAGCGCGGAGACAAGGCGCCACGUCGACGCGUUCGUGCACGCGGCGUGGCGGGACGUGCUGGUGGUCGGCGGCGAGGGCGCCGACGCGGCGGUGAGGGAGGCGGUGGCGUCGCAGCGGAGGUGGGUGGCGGUGGCGGACGACGAGAUGGGCGACGCCGUGAGGGCGGCGGCGGCUGCGGCGGUGGUGCCGGCGUACCGGGCGCUCUACCGGCGGCACGGCAUGGCGGCGUGGAUGACGCCGGGGGACGUGAACGCGAUGAUCGGCCGGCUGUUUGGUGGGCCGCGGAAUGCAGCGGCAGGUGCCAGGCCGGUCGCCGCCGGCGGUGCGACGCCGCGACGCCAUCGUCUGCGUCUCACCUCUUCGUCGCAGAAAUUGGCCCAUAAACAGUAGGAUGGUCCAAGUAGAAAGCCCAAGCCCAUCACUUGUACGGCCCAAACAUUUUGUGAAUAUCCCUACAAUUUUUUUUGUUCACGAGAAUCUGUCCAAUCACCUUUUUUUGUUUAACAAACACAUUUUGGUCAAAAUAUAUAUAAAGUGCUUGUUUUGUUUACUUGGGGUAUAAAACAUGUGCACUUUUGUGUACAUUUAUGAGGAGAUCACAAUUAUUGAAGGAAUGUAAGUGAGGGCCUUGAAAUAAAGCAGAACACAUAUAUAAUGCAUUUACUAGUUGAUAUCAUGCGUUUUGCUACAGGAUGUGGAUUAAUGCACGUUAUAUGUAUAUCGAUCCUUGUGUGCAUUUUACAAACAUAAAUGCAGAAUGAACUAAGAUAGUCCUUUAUAAGUUAAUGAGUAGGUAAUAAUCUGCAAAUGGACGAAAAAAAUAGUAUCAAAGACAUCAUCUAGCUAGCUAGCCCAACUUGCGGUUGUGUACAUCUAGUUGUGUCCGGUUGGGUGGAGUAGUUUGGAUGGGAGAUGGCCGUCUGAUUUUUUAUAGUGUUUGGUUGGAGGGCAGAGUGAAUGGAGCGGCCCAUAAUAACGAAUAUUCCCUCAAUAUGCUGGCGGUGCGACGCCGCGGCGCCAUCGUUUGCGUCUCACCUCUUCGUUGGAGAAAUUGGCCCAUAAACAGUAGGAAGCCCAAGCCCAUCACUCAUACGGCCCAUCACUACAUUUUUUUUUUGGUUGAAUAGAGUCUGUCCAAUCAUCUUUUUUUUUUAACAAACACAUUUUGAUCAAAGUAGAAAGUGUUGUUUUUGUUUACUUGGGUUUAAAAAUUGUUUACUCUUGUGUACAUUGCUGCGGAGAUCUUAAUUAUCGAAGGAAUGUAAAUAAGUGCUUUGAGAUAAAGAUGUAUCUCUCGAGGUAAUAGUUAAUUUGAUAUCCUCGAUUUUUCAUUUUGUCUAACUGAGUAUUCCAUGUUUUCGUUUGAAUCUCUAUUUUUUGGACCAAAGGCUUGAGCCCCACAUCCUUAUUCCGCUAAAGUAGCUAAGCUGUACACAACUACAUUACAUUAUUUGAGCUGUGCAUUACAUCAAGUGGACUAAACCGUAACAUAUAAGGAAUUAAUCGACCUAUUCUUAUUCUUGAUAAAGGAAUGGCAAUAUUGUAAUUUUUUAUAUUAUCAGAAGGAUUUCACUAAAGAUGAAAUUAUUACUGGCCUCUACAUCAACUAGGGAUACACAAAGCCUAGGAAAAAAAGAAACUGAGGCAAACAUGAAUAUAUCAUGUUGUUUUACACAAACACACACUCAAAUAGAAUCAAAACAAUAACAUAAAGUCAUAAAUAUCAACUCCAAAAACAACGCUUUUAAAAGGACCUGUAAGCACCACAUGGGACAAAGACUAAUCAAACAAACAUCGUGUCAGCUGAAAGCCGUCCUAAUAUAAUACUACUAAGGGACUUGAUUUGUAAUAAUUGUGGAUGCUGAGGGGCAAUGGUUUUACAAUUGAGAGACACGAAUUAAUCUCUUCCCUAUUUGAGGGAACUAGUUAUAGUGAACCUUUUACCAUUGAUAACUAUCCAGAUGGGUGGGCUGAAUUGGGCCGCUACAAAUGCGGCUGCGGUGAUGGUGCCGGUGUACCGGGUGCUCUAUCGGUGGCAUGGCACGGCGGCGUGGAUGAUGCGGGGUACAUAAAGGAAAAAGUAAACCCAAGGUCUCUCAACUUGUCAUCGAGAUACAAAAUCGUCCCCCAAUCGCAAAACCAGAUUCCGGACAUCCCUCAACUAACAAAACCGUUCGCUUUAGGUCCCUUGGUGGUUUUGAUCCGGAUUUUGUCUGACGUGGCGGCUGAGUCAGCGUGGGACCCACGUGGGCCCCACAUGUCAGAAAGUCUACCUCAGCCUCUCUCUCUCUUUCCCUAUUCUCUCCCUUCCUCCUCCUCUCUCUCACUCUUCUCUUCUCUUCUCUUCUGGGGCGGUGAAUGGGACGACGAGGUGGCAAGCCGGCCGGCGUGAGGUGAGAGAGGAGGCGGCGGGCGACAAGGUGGCAGCGGCGGCUACAACGCGGGAGAAAGCGAGGGCGGUGGCCGGUUGCGAAUCCCGUCAACGAAGCUGCGUCGCCGCCGGCGGUGAAGCGGCCCCGCGCGGGCUGGCGCCACGGCGUUGGGUGCCGCCGCGGCGCGGGCGCGGAGGCGACUUGUCGUUUACCUCCCACUCGGGGAGAUCCAAGCGAGGCUCCCGACGAUGGAGGUGGCAAUGCGCCCGAUCCGCGCCCCGCGGGACGCGCUCGAGGGCGCCGGGGAGUACAUCGACCGCGCCGUGGGGCCGGCCGCCGCUGUGCACAGCCUCGAGCCGCCGCUCCUCGCGGCCUCCUCCGUCACCGACGACCUCCCCGGAUACCUCGCCGUGAUGUCCCGCUUCAAGGAGGCGCUCCACUUCCUCUCCGACAACUGCGGCAUCACCUCCCAGUGGCUUGUUGACAUCGUCGAGUACCUCGAGGACCGUAGUCUCGCCGCUGCCCUCGCCUUCUCCCGCCUCGCAGCCGCCACCGCCGCCGCCUCGUCGCCCGCCGCCUGCUCCUCUCCCGCCUCGCCCCGGUGGCCUCGUGGAAGGAGUAGCCAUCGGCGCGGGGCCAGUCGGCGUCCUCGGCGAGCUGGGACCGCAGCUCCUCCUUCCUCUCCCGACGCUUUUCCCCCGCGGCAGCAACUGGAGAGUAGGUCCCAACGGUGGUGGUGGCGGCGGCGGAUAGCGCGGACGCGUCGGCCUUCCUCCGCAGCGCCGCUUUCGCUGGAGCGAUUUGGGGAAGGGUUGGAGACAUGAGUGGCUAAGAGUAGCCGGCAAGCAACACCACUCCGUGCGGCCCUCCUCCCCCUUCGGCAUCGCCGUGAUGCUCAGCGGCGGUGUCGCCCUCGAUGCGGCCGUCACCUACCACGACAAGUACGGGCGCGUCUGGGAGGUGAGCGCGGCCAUGGCGAGUGGGCCCAUACGUUGUCGUCGCGCAUCACGGCAGCGUCGGCGGGACGUUAGGAAGAAGAGGCGGCGACGACACGACGAUGGUGAGGCGGCAGAGCUGGCAGGUGGAGUGGGAGCCGAGCCACAUGUCAACGUACUCGGCGUGGAAGCCGUGGCUGCACCGGGGGAGGAAGCUAGCCUCGUCGCCCUUCUCGAGCUCCGCAAGGCACACCGCGCACUCGACGCCGUCGUCCUACUCCUCCUUCGCCGCCGCCGCCGCCGUGCUGCGGCUAUACACCGUGAUCGACAGCGACCGCAACACCUCCGAUUCGACCCCUCCUCCCCUUCCACCGUCCCCGCCCAUGCCCGCUGGAGAAAGGUGAAGAGAGAGAGAGGAGAAAGAGAGAGGAAGGGAAAGAGAGAAAGGGAGUGAUGAUGUGGCAUGCUGACAGGUGGGUCCCACGCUGACUCAGCCGCCACGUAGACUAAAACCGGGGUCAAAACCACCUAGGGACCUCGGGUGACCGGUUUUCUAUAGUUAAGGGACCCCAUAUAUCUGGUUUUGCGGUUUGAGGACGUUUUCGUAUCUCGGUGACAAGUUCAGGGACCUCCGGUGCACUUUUCCCGUACAUAAACGCGAGAUGAUCGGCCGGCUAUUUGGUGGGCCGCGGGAAUGCAGCGCCGGUCGCCGCCGGGACGCUAGGAGAAAUUGGCCUACAAGCAGUUGGACGGUUGUAACGCCCCGAUUUUCGUUCGGGUUUAAAAAUCAUUAAAUAAUGCAUUUUCUAGAAAUUAAAUAAAAGUUAAAUCAAUUUAAUCAAGUGAAAUAAUGGGAGAAUUAAAAUUUUCCCUUAAAAAUCAUUGGCCGGGAAUAUUUUGCAAUAUUCUUUGUGCCCUAAAAUACUCUCCGGAAUUUUCCGUGAAUUUUCGGAGCUCGAGAAAUAGUUUUAAAGUCACAAAGAUCAUUUAAUCAAUUAAAUAAAAAAGAAAACAAAAACUCCCCUUCCUCCUUGGGCCAUUUUCGGCCCAAGAAUCCUUUCUCUCCCGCGGCCCACGCGCCCUUAUCUCUCCCUCUCGGGCCGGCCUUCUCCCUCGGCCCGCUCGGCUCUCUCUCUCCCUCAAGUUUGCUUUACCUCCCUCGCCCGUUUUCCCCUCUCUCUCUCCCCGACAGGUGGGACCCGAGGCCCCACCUGUCAGCUCCUCCUCCUACCUCUCGCCGGCCAACUCCAACCGCCCGCGCUGCCGCCUUAUCCGCUCCACGUCGCGCCUCCACUCCGCGCCCGCACCUCGCGCCCACGUCGCCGCCCUCUUCCCCCCGCAUCUCCCGCGCGCGCGCGCCCGCAAGUGGUGGGGGAUUUGAAAUCCCCCAACACCCUCUCUCUCUCCUCCACCUCUCCACGUCGCCGGCCAAAUAGGGGCCAUCCCCGGCCGUUUCCGCCCCUCCCUCGCCCAUAAAAACCCUCACCCGAGUCCCCUCCCUCGUUUCCCCCAUUUGCCGUCCUCUCCCACGCCCCCUACCGCGCCCGCGCCGUCACACCCGAGCUCCGCCGCUUGUCGCCGUCUUCGGCCGCGCGCCGCCACUGCUGGAGUCGCCGACGCGCCAAACCGCCGCCGCCGUUAGCUUCACCGCCGCAAGAGCUUUCCCGGCCGCCGCCUCGCGUCGCCGGAAUCCCACCGGAGCGCCUCUCCCCUUGCGAGCCGGUGAGUUUUUCCCUCCCCUCCAUCUCCGGCCGGCAAUUCAAGCCGCCGUGGUCGUCGUCUCCUCUCCUAACGCCUCUCCAUCUUCUCCUAGGGUGUCGCCGCCGCCCGUCCGUGCCUCCGCAUCGUCGGUCAUCGCUUCCGUGUUCAUUCUUCGCGCCGGCCGCCGUGCUCACGGUGAGGAGCUCCUCUCCUCCCUCCUUCCCUCUGUCCCGCACGCGCUGCCGCCCCUGCGCUCGCCAUCGCCUUCGUCCGCCGCCGCCGGCCUGUGCGUCGUCCGCCGCCGCCUCCCGCGCCGUCGCUUGCCGUUGCCGGCUCUCGCGCGCCGCCGCCGGUCACCGCCGGUGACCGCGCGUGUCGCCACCGGCCGCCAUGGCUGCCGGUCGGCUUUGAAACCGAGCCGUGCCUAGCCGCCUUCCCCGCGCCGUCCGAUCGUCUUUGAGGCCGAUCCGGACCGUCGAUCCCGUGGACCGGCGGUGGACCACUCGUGUGGUCCCGGUCCACGGUAGACCGGCCACCUUGUGCCGCUGCCAGUGGGGCCCACUUGCCCGAGCCCCCUCUCCCUCCCCUUGUGCCGCUGACGAGUGGGGCCCGCCUGUCGGCGCCGGCCCUUUUGCUGACGUCAGCGGCAGUCCUUUUCCUUUGAGAAAAUAAUUAAUAAUUGCGCAAUAAAUCGAGUUUAAUUCUAGAAAUUCAUUUAAAUGGCUCAAAACUUCUAAAAUUCAUAUCUAAUUCAUUCGAACUCCGAAUUGAGCCAUUCAACUUGCAAAAUUCAUCUAAAAUUGAGCUCUACAUGUUUGUUUACUUUUUAUGUACUGCUUCCUUGGUUUUUAUUAGAGUUUUUCCUCGUUUUGCGUGCCAGCGUGUAGUUUCCGUCGUUUCGGAAGUCCGCGGUCGCGAGGAAAAGAGUUCAGAAGAUCAAAGUGAAGAAGCAAGGCAAGUCACACAUUCCCCUUGAGCAUGUUGAUCCCAAUUUAUAAAUGUUUUACCGUUUACAAAUAAAUAUGCAUGUUUUGCUAAUUACAUGGGAUCCGGGUAUUACCUAUCUGCUCGCUUGUGCCAUGUUUACUUGAUAUCUAUCCUUUGUCAACCUUGGGUGAUAAAUUGACUAGCUCGUGUUACUUAUGUGACCUAGCUAGAACUAUAUGCUUAGCCAUGCUUAAUUACCACUAGCUCGGUCGAUGGGAUAAUUACAAUAUUAGACCUUUCUAGUAUCUUGUUGAGCCGCGUGCUCGAGACAUCUGGCCAUGUUACAUGGUCAUAAUUAUCCAACUAAAAUGCGACUGAAUGGUGGGCUGUGGGUGCAUGGUUUUGUGAGUCGCACCCUUGGCAAUUAAGGACCGGUUCACGGGAAACCCUGGAAGACUUACAGUGCUUACCACAAGCGGGAAUGGGUAACUGCUUGAUCUGAAGUAUAGCUCGACCCUUUCCUAGGCACCGGUGGCGAGGGUGGGCGUGAUGGAGUUGGGUCGGCCGGGGUGUCCGGUUGUCCAGCUGCCGGAUUCACCGCGGCGCAAGAGGGGACCGCCCACUGCCUUUUGAGGGGUGGGGGUGAAACCUUAGCGUGGUGUGGAUGGUUAGGGGAGGGUUAUGCGAAGGGUCUCGUCACAAUCACUCGACAUGGUGACGUGUGCAUCAUGGGCACAUGAUGACGCGGUGACAUGUCGGUGGGUUGUGUCUUGUGGGUACAGUUGUGCACCUCUGGCCAGAGUAAAACUAUUCGAAUAGCCGUGCCCGCGGUUAUGGGCGAUCGACCAGAUUCACCGUGAUUAGUCCCACCUUAAUAAAUCGACUCAAUGCACUGUAGUUCAGGUGGGUUGGUUGGGCCUGUUCAACGUGGUGUAGCGUUGAUCAGUGGAGAUUUAAUGUUACUUUAAUUACUCAACAGUUUUACUGUUUUGCUCAAUAAAAUGUUUUACAACCGCCUUUAUGCAAAUAGCCACAAACCAUCCUUGUAUCCCCUUGCACGUCUGCAUCAUUGGUGUGGCUUGCUGAGUACGGUGGUUGUACUCAGCCUUGCUAUUAUUCCCCCUUUUCAGAAGUGUAGUGCUUCUGAGCUGAAGAUGGAGUUAGAGGACCAAGGCUCAGACCCCAGUUGAGUUUUGCCUGUGGAGUGGAGCUGAAGCCCCGCUAGGAUCGCCUUUUCCGCUGCUGCUGCUUUUGUUUCGGUGUGAGGACUAAGUGCCUCUUCUGUAAGUAUUUUACGCUUUAUUUACGUUUGGAACUGUAUAUUACUUGUCGUUUUGUGUACCCUGGCUGGUCCUGGACAGGGAUUUAAUACACAAAAUAGUCUGGAAAUUUGGGCUAAAUUUCUGGGCGUGACAAAGUGGUAUCAGAGCCAACUCGACUGUAGGUUGAGCCAAAUGGUCAAACCCUAAGGACAAGCUUUCUGAAAACCCUAUUUGAAAAAUGUCUCCCCUCGCCCUUCGGCUUUUCUUUGCGAAACAGUUUUUCAAAAUUCUCCUCCCUGUCCCUCCAAUUCUUAUAGUUGUUAAACCGUGGAGGAUAAACUGUCAGCUUCGUGUCUGUUCGGAAGUCAAGUCAAGCAUCAAGCUUCUGCGGCAAAGAGCGAGAAGGUCAGUUCAGAGUCGUCGUUCCGUGAAGAUCAAGAAGAGUUUUCCCGAAGUUGACCUAAACCCAAUCUUUCCCAGAAGAGUAGUUCCGUUAGCUUUCUAGAUCGUGUGUUGUUUGCUUGUGUGUAGGGGUAUGGUUUGCAUCAUUGGUGGGGAUGCGACCAUACUAGGUUGUUUGCUUAAGCAACUUGAACAAUAAAAGUGUACUCACAACAUAUCAGUAGGCAAGUGGUUUAGUACCUUAUCUUUAGCAACCCCUCUCUUCCACCUCUCUUCCGUUCUGGUAACAGAUGGUCAGUAUCAGAGAGAAGAGCAACAACAACGGUGUAUGAAAGUCACAGAUCAAUGAAUCAGUCAAAAGCUACCAGGUACUCCCGAUGCCAGAAGAACCCCUGCUCGUGAUCAACAUUUGGUAUCCAGGAUCAGAAGAUGGGUGUAUUGAUGAAGGAGAUGCAAAGCUCGAUGCAAGGUCGAAUGUAGCGGAAAUAACUCCAACAGUAGUGUGUUGCAGUCAGAGUCAGUGGAUCAGUUCAAGACAACAAGCUACCAGCUGAGUCAGAGCACCUCGCUCUAGUUAGCCAAGAUUGGAAGAUGGAUAUGCCAGACAUUGAUAUAGCAACCGCAGAGUCCGAUGCAACAGAUGCAACAACAGUGUCUCCAACAACAUGUACAAGCCUAUAUGCAAGCUGGGAUCAGGAUCAGAGCGAAAGUCAGUUUGUUUCCAAGAGCAAGCACCUGAAACCUCAGACAGUACGCCACCAAGUCUUCAGCAGACCAGCACAGCUAAGUCACCACCAAUCCCAGAGGCAACAAAUGCUACCUACGGUGGUUAUGGUUUUCAAGAGCGGUUUUUGCAAAGUGUCCAACUAUCCAUGGAAGAUGUACGACAGGGCACCUCUCAGAGGGUUGUUCCACAGUAAGGCGUCAGCGUCAUCACAUCAAGAGCUUUGUUAGCGACACCCCAACUCCUCAAGUUGUGUCAGUUCCAAUGCAGAGUCGGUCAGUUCAGUUUUGAGGAAUCAACUAUGCAACUUGACACCGAAGUCAGGUCAGGAGAAGGACAGUCAUGCCAGCAGUUAUUACUUAUGGGAAAGUUAGUCAAGAGUCAGUGUGUCCAUGAGCUAAAUGAGAGUCACUUUUAUGUGGAAUUUCCUAUCAUCAACUAAGGCUUAAGUUCCAAAUCUUGUCGGGAUGAAAGUGCAUCGCCAUUGCUUCAAUUUGAUGGACCGAUGAAGUUUCAGUCUUCAAAGUCAGGGCAUCUGUAAAUCCGAGAAAUGUUGGUCAUUUUUUUCAAGGACAACAGUUCAACUGAUCCCAGCCACGCGGAAGUAAGACUACUCCCUGUAAGGGGGGUAGGUCUCGGAGAAGAGUUUUGCCUCACUUCGUCGCUGUUUUAGUUGAAGGUUCAACCAGUGCCGCAAUCAGGGUAGCACUUGAAGAAGCAAGUUGCAAGGUAUCAGAAGAAUUAAGCCGAUCCCCGGGCAACCGAUUGAAUUCUAAGGUACACCCAUGAGGCCAGUUCAACCGCUUAGCUUAGACAGGUCAAGCAGGUUUCCUGGAUUUACUUGUCAUUUGAGUUGGGACCAGUCCAAGCGGACAUAGGGUAAAUGAUUUACAAAUGCCAGAUUCAAUUUUCAUCCUCUUAUAGCCAGCGUGGUGAAUUCUCAGGUUACCAAAAUUGCCAACCUCAACAGUUCAGUCCAAGAUAAGUAAGUUUCAGGAGUAUCCGCAGUUCUGGCCUAGGUCAGUUCAAGCAGAACCAGUCGGUCCAGUUUUGGCAAAGUAAAGGAACAGAAAGGUCGAAUCCAGCCAGUGCAAUCGUGCAGGUUGGAUCAACCAGUCAAUCAAUCAGUUCGAAGCAGAAUGUGGCAGUUCAAUGUGCAGAUCAGUCAGACCGCCCGCCCAACCAGUUUUCUUUCUAGCCAUCCCAGAAUCUCGGGACGAGAUUCCUGUAAGGGGGGUAGAUUUGUAACGCCCCGAUUUUCGUUCGGGUUUAAAAAUCAUUAAAUAAUGCAUUUUCUAGAAAUUAAAUAAAAGUUAAAUCAAUUUAAUCAAGUGAAAUAAUGGGAGAAUUAAAAUUUUCCCUUAAAAAUCAUUGGCCGGGAAUAUUUUGCAAUAUUCUUUGUGCCCUAAAAUACUCUCCGGAAUUUUCCGUGAAUUUUCGGAGCUCGAGAAAUAGUUUUAAAGUCACAAAGAUCAUUUAAUCAAUUAAAUAAAAAAGAAAACAAAAACUCCCCUUCCUCCUUGGGCCAUUUUCGGCCCAAGAAUCCUUUCUCUCCCGCGGCCCACGCGCCCUUAUCUCUCCCUCUCGGGCCGGCCUUCUCCCUCGGCCCGCUCGGCUCUCUCUCUCCCUCAAGUUUGCUUUACCUCCCUCGCCCGUUUUCCCCUCUCUCUCUCCCCGACAGGUGGGACCCGAGGCCCCACCUGUCAGCUCCUCCUCCUACCUCUCGCCGGCCAACUCCAACCGCCCGCGCUGCCGCCUUAUCCGCUCCACGUCGCGCCUCCACUCCGCGCCCGCACCUCGCGCCCACGUCGCCGCCCUCUUCCCCCCGCAUCUCCCGCGCGCGCGCGCCCGCAAGUGGUGGGGGAUUUGAAAUCCCCCAACACCCUCUCUCUCUCCUCCACCUCUCCACGUCGCCGGCCAAAUAGGGGCCAUCCCCGGCCGUUUCCGCCCCUCCCUCGCCCAUAAAAACCCUCACCCGAGUCCCCUCCCUCGUUUCCCCCAUUUGCCGUCCUCUCCCACGCCCCCUACCGCGCCCGCGCCGUCACACCCGAGCUCCGCCGCUUGUCGCCGUCUUCGGCCGCGCGCCGCCACUGCUGGAGUCGCCGCCGCGCCAAACCGCCGCCGCCGUUAGCUUCACCGCCGCAAGAGCUUUCCCGGCCGCCGCCUCGCGUCGCCGGAAUCCCACCGGAGCGCCUCUCCCCUCGCGAGCCGGUGAGUUUUUCCCUCCCCUCCAUCUCCGGCCGGCAAUUCAAGCCGCCGUGGUCGUCGUCUCCUCUCCUAACGCCUCUCCAUCUUCUCCUAGGGUGUCGCCGCCGCCCGUCCGUGCCUCCGCAUCGUCGGUCAUCGCUUCCGUGUUCAUUCUUCGCGCCGGCCGCCGUGCUCACGGUGAGGAGCUCCUCUCCUCCCUCCUUCCCUCUGUCCCACACGCGCUGCCGCCCCUGCGCUCGCCAUCGCCUUCGUCCGCCGCCGCCGGCCUGUGCGUCGUCCGCCGCCGCCUCCCGCGCCGUCGCUUGCCGUUGCCGGCUCUCGCGCGCCGCCGCCGGUCACCGCCGGUGACCGCGCGUGUCGCCACCGGCCGCCAUGGCUGCCGGUCGGCUUUGAAACCGAGCCGUGCCUAGCCGCCUUCCCCGCGCCGUCCGAUCGUCUUUGAGGCCGAUCCGGACCGUCGAUCCCGUGGACCGGCGGUGGACCACUCGUGUGGUCCCGGUCCACGGUAGACCGGCCACCUUGUGCCGCUGCCAGUGGGGCCCACUUGCCCGAGCCCCCUCUCCCUCCCCUUGUGCCGCUGACGAGUGGGGCCCGCCUGUCGGCGCCGGCCCUUUUGCUGACGUCAGCGGCAGUCCUUUUCCUUUGAGAAAAUAAUUAAUAAUUGCGCAAUAAAUCGAGUUUAAUUCUAGAAAUUCAUUUAAAUGGCUCAAAACUUCUAAAAUUCAUAUCUAAUUCAUUCGAACUCCGAAUUGAGCCAUUCAACUUGCAAAAUUCAUCUAAAAUUGAGCUCUACAUGUUUGUUUACUUUUUAUGUACUGCUUCCUUGGUUUUUAUUAGAGUUUUUCCUCGUUUUGCGUGCCAGCGUGUAGUUUCCGUCGUUUCGGAAGUCCGCGGUCGCGAGGAAAAGAGUUCAGAAGAUCAAAGUGAAGAAGCAAGGCAAGUCACACAUUCCCCUUGAGCAUGUUGAUCCCAAUUUAUAAAUGUUUUACCGUUUACAAAUAAAUAUGCAUGUUUUGCUAAUUACAUGGGAUCCGGGUAUUACCUAUCUGCUCGCUUGUGCCAUGUUUACUUGAUAUCUAUCCUUUGUCAACCUUGGGUGAUAAAUUGACUAGCUCGUGUUACUUAUGUGACCUAGCUAGAACUAUAUGCUUAGCCAUGCUUAAUUACCACUAGCUCGGUCGAUGGGAUAAUUACAAUAUUAGACCUUUCUAGUAUCUUGUUGAGCCGCGUGCUCGAGACAUCUGGCCAUGUUACAUGGUCAUAAUUAUCCAACUAAAAUGCGACUGAAUGGUGGGCUGUGGGUGCAUGGUUUUGUGAGUCGCACCCUUGGCAAUUAAGGACCGGUUCACGGGAAACCCUGGAAGACUUACAGUGCUUACCACAAGCGGGAAUGGGUAACUGCUUGAUCUGAAGUAUAGCUCGACCCUUUCCUAGGCACCGGUGGCGAGGGUGGGCGUGAUGGAGUUGGGUCGGCCGGGGUGUCCGGUUGUCCAGCUGCCGGAUUCACCGCGGCGCAAGAGGGGACCGCCCACUGCCUUUUGAGGGGUGGGGGUGAAACCUUAGCGUGGUGUGGAUGGUUAGGGGAGGGUUAUGCGAAGGGUCUCGUCACAAUCACUCGACAUGGUGACGUGUGCAUCAUGGGCACAUGAUGACGCGGUGACAUGUCGGUGGGUUGUGUCUUGUGGGUACAGUUGUGCACCUCUGGCCAGAGUAAAACUAUUCGAAUAGCCGUGCCCGCGGUUAUGGGCGAUCGACCAGAUUCACCGUGAUUAGUCCCACCUUAAUAAAUCGACUCAAUGCACUGUAGUUCAGGUGGGUUGGUUGGGCCUGUUCAACGUGGUGUAGCGUUGAUCAGUGGAGAUUUAAUGUUACUUUAAUUACUCAACAGUUUUACUGUUUUGCUCAAUAAAAUGUUUUACAACCGCCUUUAUGCAAAUAGCCACAAACCAUCCUUGUAUCCCCUUGCACGUCUGCAUCAUUGGUGUGGCUUGCUGAGUACGGUGGUUGUACUCAGCCUUGCUAUUAUUCCCCCUUUUCAGAAGUGUAGUGCUUCUGAGCUGAAGAUGGAGUUAGAGGACCAAGGCUCAGACCCCAGUUGAGUUUUGCCUGUGGAGUGGAGCUGAAGCCCCGCUAGGAUCGCCUUUUCCGCUGCUGCUGCUUUUGUUUCGGUGUGAGGACUAAGUGCCUCUUCUGUAAGUAUUUUACGCUUUAUUUACGUUUGGAACUGUAUAUUACUUGUCGUUUUGUGUACCCUGGCUGGUCCUGGACAGGGAUUUAAUACACAAAAUAGUCUGGAAAUUUGGGCUAAAUUUCUGGGCGUGACAAAGUGGUAUCAGAGCCAACUCGACUGUAGGUUGAGCCAAAUGGUCAAACCCUAAGGACAAGCUUUCUGAAAACCCUAUUUGAAAAAUGUCUCCCCUCGCCCUUCGGCUUUUCUUUGCGAAACAGUUUUUCAAAAUUCUCCUCCCUGUCCCUCCAAUUCUUAUAGUUGUUAAACCGUGGAGGAUAAACUGUCAGCUUCGUGUCUGUUCGGAAGUCAAGUCAAGCAUCAAGCUUCUGCGGCAAAGAGCGAGAAGGUCAGUUCAGAGUCGUCGUUCCGUGAAGAUCAAGAAGAGUUUUCCCGAAGUUGACCUAAACCCAAUCUUUCCCAGAAGAGUAGUUCCGUUAGCUUUCUAGAUCGUGUGUUGUUUGCUUGUGUGUAGGGGUAUGGUUUGCAUCAUUGGUGGGGAUGCGACCAUACUAGGUUGUUUGCUUAAGCAACUUGAACAAUAAAAGUGUACUCACAACAUAUCAGUAGGCAAGUGGUUUAGUACCUUAUCUUUAGCAACCCCUCUCUUCCACCUCUCUUCCGUUCUGGUAACAGAUGGUCAGUAUCAGAGAGAAGAGCAACAACAACGGUGUAUGAAAGUCACAGAUCAAUGAAUCAGUCAAAAGCUACCAGGUACUCCCGAUGCCAGAAGAACCCCUGCUCGUGAUCAACAUUUGGUAUCCAGGAUCAGAAGAUGGGUGUAUUGAUGAAGGAGAUGCAAAGCUCGAUGCAAGGUCGAAUGUAGCGGAAAUAACUCCAACAGUAGUGUGUUGCAGUCAGAGUCAGUGGAUCAGUUCAAGACAACAAGCUACCAGCUGAGUCAGAGCACCUCGCUCUAGUUAGCCAAGAUUGGAAGAUGGAUAUGCCAGACAUUGAUAUAGCAACCGCAGAGUCCGAUGCAACAGAUGCAACAACAGUGUCUCCAACAACAUGUACAAGCCUAUAUGCAAGCUGGGAUCAGGAUCAGAGCGAAAGUCAGUUUGUUUCCAAGAGCAAGCACCUGAAACCUCAGACAGUACGCCACCAAGUCUUCAGCAGACCAGCACAGCUAAGUCACCACCAAUCCCAGAGGCAACAAAUGCUACCUACGGUGGUUAUGGUUUUCAAGAGCGGUUUUUGCAAAGUGUCCAACUAUCCAUGGAAGAUGUACGACAGGGCACCUCUCAGAGGGUUGUUCCACAGUAAGGCGUCAGCGUCAUCACAUCAAGAGCUUUGUUAGCGACACCCCAACUCCUCAAGUUGUGUCAGUUCCAAUGCAGAGUCGGUCAGUUCAGUUUUGAGGAAUCAACUAUGCAACUUGACACCGAAGUCAGGUCAGGAGAAGGACAGUCAUGCCAGCAGUUAUUACUUAUGGGAAAGUUAGUCAAGAGUCAGUGUGUCCAUGAGCUAAAUGAGAGUCACUUUUAUGUGGAAUUUCCUAUCAUCAACUAAGGCUUAAGUUCCAAAUCUUGUCGGGAUGAAAGUGCAUCGCCAUUGCUUCAAUUUGAUGGACCGAUGAAGUUUCAGUCUUCAAAGUCAGGGCAUCUGUAAAUCCGAGAAAUGUUGGUCAUUUUUUUCAAGGACAACAGUUCAACUGAUCCCAGCCACGCGGAAGUAAGACUACUCCCUGUAAGGGGGGUAGGUCUCGGAGAAGAGUUUUGCCUCACUUCGUCGCUGUUUUAGUUGAAGGUUCAACCAGUGCCGCAAUCAGGGUAGCACUUGAAGAAGCAAGUUGCAAGGUAUCAGAAGAAUUAAGCCGAUCCCCGGGCAACCGAUUGAAUUCUAAGGUACACCCAUGAGGCCAGUUCAACCGCUUAGCUUAGACAGGUCAAGCAGGUUUCCUGGAUUUACUUGUCAUUUGAGUUGGGACCAGUCCAAGCGGACAUAGGGUAAAUGAUUUACAAAUGCCAGAUUCAAUUUUCAUCCUCUUAUAGCCAGCGUGGUGAAUUCUCAGGUUACCAAAAUUGCCAACCUCAACAGUUCAGUCCAAGAUAAGUAAGUUUCAGGAGUAUCCGCAGUUCUGGCCUAGGUCAGUUCAAGCAGAACCAGUCGGUCCAGUUUUGGCAAAGUAAAGGAACAGAAAGGUCGAAUCCAGCCAGUGCAAUCGUGCAGGUUGGAUCAACCAGUCAAUCAAUCAGUUCGAAGCAGAAUGUGGCAGUUCAAUGUGCAGAUCAGUCAGACCGCCCGCCCAACCAGUUUUCUUUCUAGCCAUCCCAGAAUCUCGGGACGAGAUUCCUGUAAGGGGGGUAGAUUUGUAACGCCCCGAUUUUCGUUCGGGUUUAAAAAUCAUUAAAUAAUGCAUUUUCUAGAAAUUAAAUAAAAGUUAAAUCAAUUUAAUCAAGUGAAAUAAUGGGAGAAUUAAAAUUUUCCCUUAAAAAUCAUUGGCCGGGAAUAUUUUGCAAUAUUCUUUGUGCCCUAAAAUACUCUCCGGAAUUUUCCGUGAAUUUUCGGAGCUCGAGAAAUAGUUUUAAAGUCACAAAGAUCAUUUAAUCAAUUAAAUAAAAAAGAAAACAAAAACUCCCCUUCCUCCUUGGGCCAUUUUCGGCCCAAGAAUCCUUUCUCUCCCGCGGCCCACGCGCCCUUAUCUCUCCCUCUCGGGCCGGCCUUCUCCCUCGGCCCGCUCGGCUCUCUCUCUCCCUCAAGUUUGCUUUACCUCCCUCGCCCGUUUUCCCCUCUCUCUCUCCCCGACAGGUGGGACCCGAGGCCCCACCUGUCAGCUCCUCCUCCUACCUCUCGCCGGCCAACUCCAACCGCCCGCGCUGCCGCCUUAUCCGCUCCACGUCGCGCCUCCACUCCGCGCCCGCACCUCGCGCCCACGUCGCCGCCCUCUUCCCCCCGCAUCUCCCGCGCGCGCGCGCCCGCAAGUGGUGGGGGAUUUGAAAUCCCCCAACACCCUCUCUCUCUCCUCCACCUCUCCACGUCGCCGGCCAAAUAGGGGCCAUCCCCGGCCGUUUCCGCCCCUCCCUCGCCCAUAAAAACCCUCACCCGAGUCCCCUCCCUCGUUUCCCCCAUUUGCCGUCCUCUCCCACGCCCCCUACCGCGCCCGCGCCGUCACACCCGAGCUCCGCCGCUUGUCGCCGUCUUCGGCCGCGCGCCGCCACUGCUGGAGUCGCCGCCGCGCCAAACCGCCGCCGCCGUUAGCUUCACCGCCGCAAGAGCUUUCCCGGCCGCCGCCUCGCGUCGCCGGAAUCCCACCGGAGCGCCUCUCCCCUCGCGAGCCGGUGAGUUUUUCCCUCCCCUCCAUCUCCGGCCGGCAAUUCAAGCCGCCGUGGUCGUCGUCUCCUCUCCUAACGCCUCUCCAUCUUCUCCUAGGGUGUCGCCGCCGCCCGUCCGUGCCUCCGCAUCGUCGGUCAUCGCUUCCGUGUUCAUUCUUCGCGCCGGCCGCCGUGCUCACGGUGAGGAGCUCCUCUCCUCCCUCCUUCCCUCUGUCCCGCACGCGCUGCCGCCCCUGCGCUCGCCAUCGCCUUCGUCCGCCGCCGCCGGCCUGUGCGUCGUCCGCCGCCGCCUCCCGCGCCGUCGCUUGCCGUUGCCGGCUCUCGCGCGCCGCCGCCGGUCACCGCCGGUGACCGCGCGUGUCGCCACCGGCCGCCAUGGCUGCCGGUCGGCUUUGAAACCGAGCCGUGCCUAGCCGCCUUCCCCGCGCCGUCCGAUCGUCUUUGAGGCCGAUCCGGACCGUCGAUCCCGUGGACCGGCGGUGGACCACUCGUGUGGUCCCGGUCCACGGUAGACCGGCCACCUUGUGCCGCUGCCAGUGGGGCCCACUUGCCCGAGCCCCCUCUCCCUCCCCUUGUGCCGCUGACGAGUGGGGCCCGCCUGUCGGCGCCGGCCCUUUUGCUGACGUCAGCGGCAGUCCUUUUCCUUUGAGAAAAUAAUUAAUAAUUGCGCAAUAAAUCGAGUUUAAUUCUAGAAAUUCAUUUAAAUGGCUCAAAACUUCUAAAAUUCAUAUCUAAUUCAUUCGAACUCCGAAUUGAGCCAUUCAACUUGCAAAAUUCAUCUAAAAUUGAGCUCUACAUGUUUGUUUACUUUUUAUGUACUGCUUCCUUGGUUUUUAUUAGAGUUUUUCCUCGUUUUGCGUGCCAGCGUGUAGUUUCCGUCGUUUCGGAAGUCCGCGGUCGCGAGGAAAAGAGUUCAGAAGAUCAAAGUGAAGAAGCAAGGCAAGUCACACAUUCCCCUUGAGCAUGUUGAUCCCAAUUUAUAAAUGUUUUACCGUUUACAAAUAAAUAUGCAUGUUUUGCUAAUUACAUGGGAUCCGGGUAUUACCUAUCUGCUCGCUUGUGCCAUGUUUACUUGAUAUCUAUCCUUUGUCAACCUUGGGUGAUAAAUUGACUAGCUCGUGUUACUUAUGUGACCUAGCUAGAACUAUAUGCUUAGCCAUGCUUAAUUACCACUAGCUCGGUCGAUGGGAUAAUUACAAUAUUAGACCUUUCUAGUAUCUUGUUGAGCCGCGUGCUCGAGACAUCUGGCCAUGUUACAUGGUCAUAAUUAUCCAACUAAAAUGCGACUGAAUGGUGGGCUGUGGGUGCAUGGUUUUGUGAGUCGCACCCUUGGCAAUUAAGGACCGGUUCACGGGAAACCCUGGAAGACUUACAGUGCUUACCACAAGCGGGAAUGGGUAACUGCUUGAUCUGAAGUAUAGCUCGACCCUUUCCUAGGCACCGGUGGCGAGGGUGGGCGUGAUGGAGUUGGGUCGGCCGGGGUGUCCGGUUGUCCAGCUGCCGGAUUCACCGCGGCGCAAGAGGGGACCGCCCACUGCCUUUUGAGGGGUGGGGGUGAAACCUUAGCGUGGUGUGGAUGGUUAGGGGAGGGUUAUGCGAAGGGUCUCGUCACAAUCACUCGACAUGGUGACGUGUGCAUCAUGGGCACAUGAUGACGCGGUGACAUGUCGGUGGGUUGUGUCUUGUGGGUACAGUUGUGCACCUCUGGCCAGAGUAAAACUAUUCGAAUAGCCGUGCCCGCGGUUAUGGGCGAUCGACCAGAUUCACCGUGAUUAGUCCCACCUUAAUAAAUCGACUCAAUGCACUGUAGUUCAGGUGGGUUGGUUGGGCCUGUUCAACGUGGUGUAGCGUUGAUCAGUGGAGAUUUAAUGUUACUUUAAUUACUCAACAGUUUUACUGUUUUGCUCAAUAAAAUGUUUUACAACCGCCUUUAUGCAAAUAGCCACAAACCAUCCUUGUAUCCCCUUGCACGUCUGCAUCAUUGGUGUGGCUUGCUGAGUACGGUGGUUGUACUCAGCCUUGCUAUUAUUCCCCCUUUUCAGAAGUGUAGUGCUUCUGAGCUGAAGAUGGAGUUAGAGGACCAAGGCUCAGACCCCAGUUGAGUUUUGCCUGUGGAGUGGAGCUGAAGCCCCGCUAGGAUCGCCUUUUCCGCUGCUGCUGCUUUUGUUUCGGUGUGAGGACUAAGUGCCUCUUCUGUAAGUAUUUUACGCUUUAUUUACGUUUGGAACUGUAUAUUACUUGUCGUUUUGUGUACCCUGGCUGGUCCUGGACAGGGAUUUAAUACACAAAAUAGUCUGGAAAUUUGGGCUAAAUUUCUGGGCGUGACAACGGUCCAAGUUUGAAGCCCAAGCACGUCACUUGUACGGCCCAAAAGCCCAAAUAGUUUGCAAAUAUAUAUGCUUGCGAUAUUUCAGUUUAUUAUAGCUAAAAAAUAAUAAUCAUUUUCUUAAGAGGCAUUUUGAUCACAAUACAAAAUAUGACCUUCUGUGACGAAUUUCUCAUGACAUCGGAGCUAUUCGUCAUUAGCACAUUCCAUUUUAUGACGAUAAGUAUGAGAUGGGGUUGCUUAGUGACGAAAAAAAGGUGUUCGUCAUUAAUACUAACUAGAAAUCGUCAUAAAGUAUUUCAAUGGGACAUUGUGACGAAUAUUAAUUUGUCAUAAGCGGCAAAAAGCAAACGUCACAGAUUUAUAUAAUGCAUUUAUAGAAAAAUAUAUUAAAAGGUGAAGCAAUUUAAUCAAGUGAAUUAAUGAGGAAACUAAAAUUUUCCUUUAAAAAUCAUGGCCGUAAAUAUUUUUGUAAUAUUCUACAUGUUCUAAAUUAUUCUCUGAAUUUUUUCGUGAAUUUUAGGAGCUUAAUAACUAAUUUUAAUACCACAAAAAUCAUUUAACCUAUUAAAAUAAAUAGAAAAAAAAUUAAAAUCCCUCUUCUCCUUGGGCCUUUUUCGGCCCAAGUGUUACUUUCUCCCUCCUCAGCCCACAUCUUCUCUCUCCCUCCUCGGGCCGGCUUCCCCUUCCCCUCCUCCCUCUUUGGGCCGCCGGCCCAACCCUUUUGCUCCUCCCUCGUCGAGAAGUUCAUUUUGCUUCCCUACUCUCUAUUCAAAUAAAUUUUUGGGUAGUAAAUAAUUUUAAAUAAAAAAAUUCUCAACAACAAAGUUAUAUAACUUAUCAAGAUCUAUAACUUUUCUUUUGGUCAUUUUGCUAUAUGCCUCUAUUUCAAUAAUUUGAAUUUGAAUUUCAAAUUAUGACAACUUCAAAUAAUAUUUUCAAAUACUAAAUGAUUUCAACUAAAAAAAGUCAUCAACAUCAAAGUUGUAUAACUCAUAAAUAUCUAUAACUUUUAUUUUGGUCAUUUCUUUAUCCGACGAAGUGAUAGUAACAUUGUUCAUAAAUCAUAUAAGAGAUAUGUAAAUUUUGUAACAAUAUUACUAUCACUUUAUCGGAUAAAGAAAUGAUCAAAAUAAAAGUUAUUUUGAUCACAAUGAAGCAAAGAGAUUUUAUUUUGUUUUCAUACUCCAGCAUUAAAUUAAGGGAACGUACUCUUGUCUAUUACAAUGGUGUGGAUUAUAUAUAUAUCCACAAGAAGAAGAAGAAGAAAGAUUGUUGAAGGCAGGAAGAAUAUAUAUAUAGCUAGUGUACGUACAUGCGUGCCUUGAGAUAGAUAAUAUAAAUCAGAAAGUAAAUAACAUAAUUAAUGUGGUUAUAAGCAAGGAACGUCUAGUAUGAAGAGGAGCAUCUUGACAUGGGUGAUGAACUCCCCACCAUCGCAGAGCUGCUUGGCGUGGAGGCUGCAGGCGCCACAAUUCAUGGUGAUGUAGCAAAGCAUCUCCACCCACACCGUCGCGAUCAGCUCCCAGCGACCAGCUGCCUCCAUUUCACGCAAUUCCGACGAGACAAAGAGGAGCCAGACUAUACGGUAGGUAAGGAUAACUGUCACUGGAGAAGAAUCGUCUACUGGUAGUGGUACCGACCUUCUGGAAGAACCCCGGCCGGUUUCUGGUGUCUUUGGGUCCAUCCACAAAAAAUUCCACCAUUCGGCUUGCUGUGAGAACGAAAAUCUGACGCUCGUCCACUGUGCCGAGGCCUUCGUAAUUGACGAUAAGGUGCAUGACAUAAUUUGAUAACUCCCGGCAGGUCCUUGCAGUCGCCUCAUCCACGCUAGUGUAGCCCUGAUCUAGGCAUAUGUCUGUCACAAGGUGCCAAAGGCUGGCACUUGUCAAAAAACUUGAAUCUUGGAUCUUACUCUUCACAAGUGCUCGAUGAGCUGGAUUACUUUCAGAGAAAUCAUGGACUUGUACUCUUUUUUCGACCCACCGCUGUGCCCACUGGCCAUGGAAUCUGGUCAAGUCCAGCUCCGACUCCGGAUCAGUGUCCGAUAUCAGCUGGGCUAGUAUCUUAUCAACGAGUAGCUUCUUUACCUCUGCAGAGACCUUCACUGCAGGCUCGGUACUGCAGCCUCCAUCGAUGAUGAUGUCCACACAACGCAUCAUCCGUUCCAGCCGUCCUCGUGUUGUUUCCUGGAUGCCCAUGUCGAUCAUGUUAAACUGUUGCAGCUGUCCUGACCACUCCACUCUGCUUUCUGGAUGCACAUGUCCCACGAUUUGUUUGUACAAUAGUGCAUCUUCUGCACGAGGCAACAAGGCUCUGCAGCCAUGCAUGCAUGGGCAGAUCAUAGAUCAUCCAUGAGGCCUCCACGAAACUUGGUGUACAAGCGGUCAUAGAUCAUCGAGAGAUGGAUAUCAGCCAACUUGUACACCAUGUGAACUAACUCAUCUGAAGAUCCAUGUUGUCGCCAUAAUUCAUUGUCCUUGUAAUAAAAUGAGAUAUUUCUUGGUUGCUCAUCAUCAUAAUGGGGGAUAUAUUUUGGAUGCGUUAAGUCCAUAAAGAAAUCCAUGCUUAGCAAUGAGCCCGUGUUGGCCACCUCCAUGACUCGCUUGAAAUUCCUCUCUUUCUUAUCUGAAAUGAUGGAUGUUAGCAUCUUCUGGUAUCUAUACGUGUCACUAAAGAACAGGGCCCAAUUGUCUCGGACCAAAGCAUCCUGUUGAUGGUUUCUAGCCGCUAGCGUUGUUGACUGGGCUCUCCAGAGUGCCCAUAUCCUCUCAGCGUACUUGGUCGUCCCGGUGAUGAACAUUAGUACAGUGGGAGCCACCAGCUGCUUGUCACCUCGCCAUUGCUUGCCGACGACGUAGAUGGCUAGCGACACCUGGACGGCGAGGUUUAGAAGGUGCCGCUUCCACAGCGCGCAUUCCUCCAUAGAGAAGGCAGUGAUGGUCUCCUGCCCGCCAAGGUGGAGCAGCAGGAAUGGCGCCCAGAAGAGCACUAGCUGGUGACCCGGGGCGUCACCCACCAAGAGCGUGAGGCGGCCGAGGAGGUAGACCGCCACGGAGUCCGCCGAUAGGUAGGCGAGCCAGAGCAGCACGCUGAGCACACGGGAGCGGCAGCGUUUCCGGAAGAUGGCGGAGAAGAAGAGCAAGACCUGUAGGGAGAAGCUCACCAACACCAUGCAUUGGAUCUCCCAAUCGUUCCACAGUCGUUGGGCAUGCGUCUCACCAAGCUAAACCAAAGAAAAAAGAAGUGUUAUAUAUAUAUAUAUAUACAUAUAUUGCACACAUAUUUAUAAUUUAAAGCACUUAACAUUUUAUGUGCAUAUAUGUUACCAAAAUAUAUAUUAACACUAAAGUAAAUGUACGUACAUACAUAUAUAUAUAUAUAUAUAUAUAUAUAUAUAUACACGCAUAGUACAAUUCAUUUGCUCGCUAGCUAUAGCUACGACUUCGACGCCGGCGUUACGUCAAAAGAGGAAGGACCGACGUUAUGAAUUGUCGAUCCGUCGUAGUAGAAUUCACCAUCGGGAUUAAGGACUUCUUCGUUGAUGAACCCCAUCAGUUGUUCUUGAACAGCCGUGAUAAAAUCCUUGUGUGGGAGUUUUUCCCUCAUGUGAAUACGCUAUCAUUCGAAAAAUAAUGACAUAUCAAUAUAUAAAAUUAAUAAACAACUUAACAAAUCGAUACGCAAUGAAAUUUUGAAUGGUUUAUGUAUACGUACAUCGAGCUCUCGUGUGGUGUAUAUUUGGUUUGAUAGGCAGUGGGCAUACUCGCAUACGUAGUAGCCAUAUAAGUUAGUUCCCUUGUCCUGCUUUGCACACUACAUGAGAAACGAUGAGAGAUUUAAUAUACUCUUUAUAAUAACUGUAACUAGAGAUUCAAUUCAAUAUAAUUUUGGAUCAUGCAUUUACUCACUGGAAAAUGAAACCUCCGUCCAAGUUUUUCUUUCCAAGUCCCGCGGACCAAUUGACGGAACCGAUCCCAAGCCCUACAUGUGCAGCUGCAAGCUAUGAUUAAUUAAUUUUUACCCGAGAUCAACAUAAUAGCAACAGAGUCCCGCGACUUUGGAAUAAAUGGCAUUAUAUUACCUGUCUAUCAGUUGGAAGACCUUGUCAAAAACCUUCUCCUCUUUAUUCAUUGAGUCGUACACAGUGACUCUGCAUGCGUCCAAGUCGAAAAAGAUCAGGACCCAGUGGAAUCUGGAAUAUGCGUGAGAUGAGAUAAAUAUCAGAAUGUACAUGUUAUAUGUAUGGGAAUGAAAUUUGUUCGAACGACAAUAAAAACUCACUCAGUGUUGUACGGCAAUAGUAUGAACGUCUUGAAAUGCUGCUGCGUUAGGAGAUGGAUGAGAUUGUCCUAUGUGUCUUUCUCGUACUUGUCGAGCAUUUCAGUGUUGAUUUUCCGAGGGUCGAUGAACCCAGUAUCGUAAACCCCCCGCCGUCGGGCCCUUUGAAUCUCCAUUCUACAGCAAUGAAAGGAAAUUAUUAUUGCUUACAUAUAUGCCAGGAGCUAAUUAUUGAACGAAACAAAUUGAACUCAAAGAUACUCACAAAAUCCAUGCGCUCAGGAGAGAGACGUCGAGGGCGUCCCGAUGGUACAGAUCGAAGAGAUCCUUGAAAUGGAUCCAUAGAACAUCGUUUCCUUGCAAGAAGUCGGGGUUUCUGAUCCUCGCUCCGAACAUCUCUCUACCAUUGGCGCUCAUUUCCAUGUACCAUUCAUGGAAUUUGUACAUUUGUGUCGGUAGGGACUGCAGCUGCUCAGGCCUGACAAGCGGUUUACUGAGUUCAAAUUUGUAUGCCACUUCCGCCUUCGGGAUUGGUGCGCCUCCAACCAACUGAGCCACAGUUAGACCGGUGUCCGAAAUGAAAUCCGUUAUGCCAAAGUCUUCGCCGGUCACCAACGGCUCGACCACUUGGUGUGGUUGUUCUCCAAGCUGAGGAACUGGUUUGGACUUCUUGUAAUAGGCUUUCCUAAGUGUUCGGUCAUAGUCCGAUAGCUUUAAGGCCUCGUUGUCCGCGUGCCCUCUUCUGUCUAGCGGAGGGAUGACUUCCACUGGCCUCCUCCUCGUUCCCCUCUGCAUCCCUCUCCAUGUUCCCCUCCUCGUUCAAGUACUGGUUUGGAUCCUCGUUCCCCUCUUCUUCGUUCCAGUACUGGCUGCUUCCCUCUGCGAUUGUAUCGUACAGUAUCUGUUCCUCAUCGUGAUUAGCCAUCUGUUCAUAUAAGAAAUAUUUGCUAAGCGUAAUAUUAAAACUCUACUAAUUAAUCUUGUAUUAAAACUCAAAUAAUCAUAUAUGCUAAUUCUAAGUGUUGUGUAUUAGAACCCCAGAUAAUCAUAUAUGCUAAGUCUAAUUAAGUUUCGAAUAUUACAUCUCUAAUAAUCUUAUAUUAAAUCUCUAACAAUCAAAUAUGCUAAGUCUAAUUAUGUUCCGUAUAUUAAACCUCUAAUAAUCUUAUAUUAAAUCUCUAACAAUCUCUGACACUCACAUAUGCUAAGUCUAAUUAAGUUCUGUAUAUUAAACCUCUAAUAAUCUUAUAUUAAAAUUGUAAUAAUCAUAUAUGCUAAGUCUAUCAAUCUUAUAUUAAAUCGCUACUAAUCUUAUAUUAAAAUUGUAAUAAUCAUAUAUGCUAAGUCUAACAAUCUUAUAUUCAAACUCUAAUAAUCUUAGAUUAAAAUUGUAAUAAUCAUAUAUGCUAAGUCUAACAAUCUUAUAUUCAAACUCUAAUAAUCUUAUAUCAAAAUUGUAAUAAUCAUAUAUGCUAACUCUAACAAUCUUAUAUUAAAUCUCUAAUAAUAUAAUAAUCUUAUAUUAAAACUCUAAUAAUCUAAUAAUCUUAUAUUAAAACUCUAAUAAUCUUAUAUUAAAUCUCUAACAAUCACUUCUUUACAACACUUGCCUGCGCGAAUUCCUUCGAUGGCUAGCUACCACUUCGGCUUGAGGGACGACAACGACAUCUUCUUUGCAACAUUACCAUGAAAAUGUAUUAGUCUAAACAGGGCCAAGUUACAUAUAUUGUAUUUCACGUUUUAACCUAUAUAUAUAAUCAUGCAUAUAUGUAUGCUAAGUUUAAUAGAGAAUAGGUUAAAUAAGGAUUAAAUGAAAACUAGCACUGUUCAUUGCGCGGUAGGUGCUCGAUGUGGUUCCGUAGCCCUGCUCUCCUCCGUCGCCUGCCCCUAGCCGCCCCGAGCCCGCGCCGACGUCGCCAUCGCCGCCUGCCGCCGCGUGCCGUCGCCCCGCGCCGCGUCGCCGUCACCGCGCGCUGCUCGCCAUCGCCGUCGCCGUCGCCGUCGCGUCGUCGCCUCGCGCCCCGUGCCGCUGCUGCCGGGCCGUCGCUGUCGACGUUCCGUCGCCACGCGCGCGUCCCAUCGCCGCCUCGCGCCCCGCGCCGCAGUGCCGCCGUCGCGUCACCCCCCUUCUGCACCGCCCCCCUCUCUUUCUUUCCCCCUCUCCCCUAUAAAAACCCCGGCCUUUCUUCCCCCUUCUCCACCCCACUCCAUUCCCUCCUCCUCUCCCUCUCCCCCUUCUCCACGUGCCGCCGUCGUCGUGCCGCCGCGCCGCCGCCUUCGAGCCGCCGCGCCGCCACCGCGAAGCCGCCGCACUGUGCCGCGACUUGCGCCGCCGUCGCCAUCGUCGUCGCCGCCGCCACUGACGGUAAGCCGCCCCCCCCCCCUCGCGUCCACCGCCGUCGCCGCCCGGGAGGGCAAGGAGCCGAGAGAGAGAGAGAGGGAGAAAGGAGCCGGCAGGGAGAGAAAAGAGAAAAAGAAAGGGAGAGAAAAGAGAAAUAGAAAGAAAAGAAAAGAGAAAAAGAAAGAUAAGAAAAGAGAAAAAAGAAAGAAAAGAAAAGAGAAAAAGGGAAAUAGAAUAGGGAGGUUAAUAGUUUAGAAAAAAUUUAAAAUAAUUAGAAUUUAAUUAUAGUCGUAGAAUUGCAAAAUUUAAUAUAAAUUAUAGAUUAUUUUUGGGUAAUCUCUAUAAGAAAUCGAUUCACGGUAGAAAUUCGGAUUUAAUUACUAGGAAUUUUAGCUGUGUAUUAUAUUUAAUCGUUUAGUCGUAGACCAAAUUAAAUCGUACAUUAUUAUAAGAUAAUUUUAGGAUCUCGUCCGAUAUUUAGCUUGCGAUAGAGAUUUCUAAUCUAUUACAAGGAUAUGAUACUCGGGCUGACUAAAUUAAAAACUUGUGCUAAUAAAAUAUUUAUACCCGCGAAAUAGUUUAGGAUAGAUAAAUUAAGAUCGGAUUAGCUCUAUUUCACAAACAAAAAUAGAUAAUGUAAGGAACCGACUUCCGCGCUCGAUAUCUUCUUGGAUUUACUUGGAUCUUUAUUUGAAUUCUAACUGAAUUCAAAUCGUUUCUUCGCACGUACUUUAGACCCCGAGGGAGUUGCGGAUCCGAGCAAGGACCAAGACCCGCAAAGCUUCGAGCAAGGCAAGUCAUCACUAUUCCUUGAACAUGUUGAUCCCAAUUGCGAAAUUAUUUUGUUAACAAAUAAAAUUGCAUGCAAUGAUAAACAUCCUACUUGUGAUUAUGCCAUGCCUUGAUUAUUGUUUACCCGUAAAUCCUUGUAACCAUGAUUACGUAUGAGUCCCUAGUCAACUAUGACAAAUGCUUAGAAAAUGCUACUCUAGAUUCAUGCAUAUUCAUAUUUAUCAAAUGCUAUAUGCUUAGGCAAUUACCUUUGGGAAUGUAAUUGAGAUGCGGCAUGUGGGGACAUGAGCGCCACAUUGCCAUGAUGUUGAUGACAUGAUUUGUGAAAGAAGAAAUGAAACUAAACAACUGUUUUUGACUGGGGCGGACGGAGGAUUUGGGCGGUAUCCGGAAAAGGCUAGUGCCGUCCCCGGUCAAUUAAGGACCGAGCUAUGAAGUUAAGCAUGAAACGACCCCCGUACAACCGCACUUCUCGUAUGGGUAUAGACCUAGCAGAGUAGAUAGCUGAGCGGAGGCAGUAUCCAUGCAUAGUGGUUUCUUGAUGUGUGAGGCAGGGGCUCUACGGUGGGGCAGCCAUUGGUAGGACCGUGAGGCGGGUGUCUACAGUGGUGUCGCCAUCGGUAGGACUGCCAUGUGAGAAUCUAAACAUAAUUAUAACUUAAUGCAUGUGUGAGUCUUCCCUUUCCGGGUGCGCCAGAACUCCUCUCACUGCUAGAAACCGUGUACGCCUAGAGUGCAUGAGGAUGUAAAGUUCAUGGAGCGGGUACUGCCAAUGCGAGGUUAUCGAAAAGCUUUGCCGUGACGCGUCUCAUGUGUUGGGACGAGGCUCAUGUGUUGGGCAGUCGCGGAGUGCGGGUAAAGUGUACAUCCACUGCAGUGUGAGUAAACCAAAUCUAUUCGAAUAGCCGUGCUCGCGGUUAUUAAGCACCGGGACAUGUAUUACACUUGGCUAGACUCUAAAUUCUUAACUUGUGUCGGAUGGGAUAUUGCAUGAUGAUUUCUAUGCUGAUGGAGCCACUUUCUGAGAGGCGGGAAUGUGGAUGUCCUCAGAAAACCAUGACGAUUCAAUGGCGGGAAGCUAUCCUUGGGAUCACAAUGGAUGGUGGACAGAACCGUCAUUGUUUAAUAUGAACACUGGUACUAAAAUUUGAUCAGUCUGUGCUAGGUCUUAGGCUUGUGAAAAGAAUUACAAAACUUGCUUUGCGCAAAAGAACCAUAGCCAUCCUUUGAAUACCCCUGUCAUGUGCAUUAUUGCUGUGGUGGCUUGCUGAGUACGGUUGGUACUCACCCUUGCAAUAUACAAACUUAAUCAGAGGUCGGAGAUGAAGCUUCGGAGGAUCCCUACGCUUACUACCAGGAGGGUGAUGAAGACGAUGGCGCUCUGUAGGUCUUAGUUACGGUCGUUGCCUGUGGCAGUGGCGUGCCGCUGCCAUGACUCCGCUGCCUUAUCUACUUCUGCUUUUCGAAUGUAUUCCGGACCGCUCGGUCCGAUGAUCUAAGACUAUGCCUGCGGGCUUUUGAUGUAAUAUUUCGCACUAGACUUUCGUGUAUGUGCAUUUGGUAUUUCAGCUAUGAACUCGUGUGUACCAGACUACUUGAUCCAGGGAAAUGGUACUGUUUACACGAUUGAUUCCUGUUAUAAAAACGGGGGUCUACAUCCAUCCAAACACGUUACAGUGCGACCACACGGGUAUUUAUGGGAUGCCUCUGGCUAAGUAAAUUGUUUUCACAUGGGAGUUGGUGUGCCAAUGGUUGUGGAAUGCCGAGGAUGAGGAGACGAAGUGUUACACAUUUUUGCCCAUCAUGGGUGUCUUUUUGCCUCUAUUGUGGCGUGGUACCGGUAGGAGUAGGAGGUAUCCUCGGUAUUUCCUGAGUGGAUGACGGCUAUCAUUGCCUGAUACUUGGCUAUGGAUCUUAGCCCAACUAGGUGGCAUGCGAUUUUCAUGGGUUAGCUUUGGAAAGGCCUUAUCACGAACUUUCGUUGCCGACGGGUAAACGAUGUCAGUUUCGUGUCGUGUGGGUAAAGCGUGCAACCUCUGCAGAGAUUAAUGAACUGUUCGAACAGCCGUGCCCACGGUCAAGGGCGAGUGUAAGGUGUUUCUCAUAGCGUAGAUUUGUUUGAAAAAUGUUUGUGAAGAAGUGAUUAUUGGGAAGGGUAACGUUGCCAGAGUCCGCCUGUGUGGCAGACGGCUAACCUGGGUGGUUAGGAACGGGUCUGUGUGACCUAGGGUGUCGUCCGACACCGAGGUGUUGUUAGGGCCAUGAUGAUGGCAUUGUUGUGUUGAGAUAUCUGUGUGGUCUAUGUGUUGCUGUGAGAAGAAACUAAUAGAGGAACAAAUUAAUUGUUGUUCGUUAAUCAUGACAAGUUGUUGCAAAGCAACUUGUGGAAUGGGUCGAGGCGUGAGCCUCCUCCCGACAACUAAAACUUGACUCAUUCACUAGGAGUUUUGUGAAAUAAAUCACUUUGCCAAAAAGGCAGCUUUCGCAAAUAAAACCUUAGCCUCCUUGUUUAAACCAAACAUGUCAUUUUUCCCCUGGC